UACAGAGGUGGCAAGCGUUGUUCGGAAUUACUGGGCGUAAAGGGCGCGUAGGCGGUCCGCUAAGUCCCGUGUGAAAUCCCUCGGCUCAACUGAGGAACCGCACGGGAAACUGCCGGGCUUGAGUUCGGGAGAGGGAAGCGGAAUUCCGGGUGUAGCGGUGAAAUGCGUAGAUAUCUGGAGGAACACCGGUGGCGAAGGCGGCAUCCUGGACCGGUAUUGACACUGAGGCGCGAAAGCCAGGGGAGCAAACGGG
rnacentral:rRNA from 1 species